rnacentral:rRNA from 1 species
UACGUAGGGGGCAAGCGUUGUCCGGAAUCAUUGGGCGUAAAGAGCGUGUAGGCGGCCAGAAAAGUCCGCUGUGAAAACUCGAGGCUCAACUUCGAGCUGUCGGUGGAAACUUUCUGGCUAGAGUCCGGAAGAGGAGAAUGGAAUUCCUGGUGUAGCGGUGAAAUGCGCAGAUAUCAGGAAGAACACCAAUGGCGAAGGCAGCUCGCUGGGACGGUACUGACACUGAGACGCGAAAGCGUGGGGAGCAAACAGG